GUGGGGAAUAUUGGACAAUGGGGGGAACCCUGAUCCAGCCAUGCCGCGUGUGUGAAGAAGGCCUUUUGGUUGUAAAGCACUUUAAGCGAGGAGGAGGCUACCGAGAUUAAUACUCUUGGAUAGUGGACGUUACUCGCAGAAUAAGCACCGGCUAACUCUGUGCCAGCAGCCGCGGUAAUACAGAGGGUGCGAGCGUUAAUCGGAUUUACUGGGCGUAAAGCGUGCGUAGGCGGCUUUUUAAGUCGUAUGUGAAAUCCCUGAGCUGAACUUAGGAAUUGCAUUCGAUACUGGAAAGCUAGAGUAUGGGAGAGGAUGGUAGAAUUCCAGGUGUAGCGGUGAAAUGCGUAGAGAUCUGGAGGAAUACCGAUGGCGAAGGCAGCCAUCUGGCCUAAUACUGACGCUGAGGUACGAAAGCAUGGGGAGCAAACAGGAUUAGAUACCCGAGUAGUCC
rnacentral:rRNA from 1 species